GGAUAUAGCUUAGCAGCACAAGCAUCUACCUGGUAAGUACAAGGUCCUGAGUUCAAUUCCUGGUAUCC
rnacentral:tRNA from 1 species